UGGGGAAUAUUGCACAAUGGGCGCAAGCCUGAUGCAGCCAUGCUGCGUGUAUGAAGAAGGCCUUCGGGUUGUAAAGUACUUUCAGCGGGGAGGAAGGGAGUAAAGUUAAUACCUUUGCUCAUUGACGUUACCCGCAGAAGAAGCACCGGCUAACUCCGUGCCAGCAGCCGCGGUAAUACGGAGGGUGCAAGCGUUAAUCGGAAUUACUGGGCGUAAAGCGCACGCAGGCGGUUUGUUAAGUCAGAUGUGAAAUCCCCGGGCUCAACCUGGGAACUGCAUCUGAUACUGGCAAGCUUGAGUCUCGUAGAGGGGGGUAGAAUUCCAGGUGUAGCGGUGAAAUGCGUAGAGAUCUGGAGGAAUACCGGUGGCGAAGGCGGCCCCCUGGACGAAGACUGACGCUCAGGUGCGAAAGCGUGGGGAGCAAACAGG
rnacentral:rRNA from 2 species